AGUUAACGUUGGCGGCGUGCCUAACACAUGCAAGUCGAACGCGUCCUAAGGGCAACUUUAGGAUGAGUGGCGAACGGGUGAGUAUCACGUGGGUAAUCUUCCUUCAAGUGGGGAAUAAGCUCUCGAAAGGGAGUCUAAUACCGCAUGACAUUCCGGGACACAAGUCCCGUAAUCAAAGCCGCAAGGCGCUUGAAGAUGAGCCUGCGUCCUAUUAGCUAGUUGGUGGGGUAACGGCCUACCAAGGCUCAGAUGGGUAGCCGGCCUGAGAGGGUGAACGGCCACACUGGGACUGAGACACGGCCCAGACUCCUACGGGAGGCAGCAGUGAGGAAUUUUGCGCAAUGGGGGAAACCCUGACGCAGCGACGCCGCGUGGAGGAUGAAGGCCUUCGGGUCGUAAACUCCUGUCAGAGGUGAAGAAUGCCCGCAAGGGUUUGACGGUAACCUCAGAGGAAGCCCCGGCUAACUACGUG
rnacentral:rRNA from 1 species